rnacentral:lncRNA from 1 species
GGCUCUCUCUCUUCCUCUCCCACUCACUCUCGUCCAAAAUGAGCAUGAAGGUUAACUUCCCCUUCUCUCUCUAAUCCAAAACAAGCAUGAAGAUUUACCUCCAUAUUAUUGCAUGUGUAAAGCCAAAUCACACAGGUGGGUUUUAGGCUUCUUUUAUUUAUAUUUUUGUUUUAACUUUUCUUCUUUAUUUUUAAGGGAUUGUAUAUAAUGAGAUCAUUUACUUUAGAUAUAAGAUGGUCACAAUUACUCACAUCCAUCUGCUGUGAAAUUUGAAAGCUUGGAUGUGUCACAGGGUUUCUUUUGAAGUUUGAACUUGGUUUAUGGAAUAAUUGCGGCCACCCAAUUUCACAUCCAAUGGUCAAGAUUAAUGUGACCACCCUAUACCGAAGGUAAAUGGUUUCAUUCUAUACUUUCCUUUUAAACCAUUGAAUUGUUUCGAUCCAAAGGUUGGGGUGCAUUGAGAGUCCCAUGUUUAAAGGGUUUUUUCCUCUUUGCUUGAAAAAAAGUAAGAACAAGAGAAGAAAAUGAGAGAGCUCAUGUAGGGUGAUGUGCCAUGUUUUUACCUUGAUUUCUAGUGAGAGAAAGUGCUGGAAGAGGAGUUUUGUUGGGUUCUUGAAGCUAAGCUGCUGGCUCUAUUUUAGACAGAGAAAGUACACACUUGUAAUGUGUUUGGAUCAUGUUUUUAGAAAGGUAAAGCUGCUGUAAAUUGGAGUUUUGAACCUCAUUCUCUUUUGUAAUCUCCAUCAAAUUAGUAAGUAAAAUCCCACACCAUUCUUUCGUGGAUGUAAGAGUUUUGAACCUCAUUCUCUUUUGUAAUCUCCAUCAAAAUAAUAAAAAAAACCUCAUACCAUUCUCUCGUGGAUGUAGAUCAUGA